rnacentral:rRNA from 1 species
GGCGCAGGCGGAGAUGUAAGCCAGACGUGAAAGCCCGGGGCUCAACCCCGGAAUUGCAUUUGGAACUACAUUUCUUGAGGAUAGGCGGAGAAAACGGAAUUCUGCAUGUAGCGGUGAAAUGCGUAGAUAUGCAGAAGAACACCGGUGGCGAAGGCGGUUUUCUAGCUUAUUCCUGACGCUGAGGCCCGAAAGCUAGGGGAGCGAACA